CCACCUCCACCCCUCAUCCCUCACAAUGCGCGGAAAACCACAGGCGGCUGUGCGCGCAGCGUCGGCUCAGCCACCGCAGCUCCUCCCCUGGGAUGAAAAAGCACUCUGACGUCUUGAAAGCUGGCAGCUCUCUGUUUGGAAAAUCUCUGCCCAGUGAAAAAAUGUACCGACAAGAUUACUAAGUAACACAGUCUUCUGGGAAUGCCUUAUCAAUGCCAGCUAUUUGAAGAGCACCCAAAGUCAAACUAGUGCUCCGCGCUGGCAGUCUGGAAAAGGCAGAUGUAUAAACCAAAAAGGAUGGAGUUCAGAGACCUUCCAUGUUGAUGAACAAGAACACAUUCACCUGCUGUAGGGGUAGGUGUACCCCAAAACUCCACUGAUACAGAAGCUUCUAUACUCAAGACCCUUCUAUACUCAAGACCCUGGAUCUUACCCUAUAUAUCUCUUCAUCUGGCUAUUUAUUUGCAUCUUUUAAUAUAUCCUUUGUAAUAAACUAGUAAUCUAGAAAGCAAACUUUUCCUAGCUCUGUAGGCCAUUCUAGUAAAUGAUUAAACCUGAGGAGGAGUUAUGGGAACCUUUGAUUUGUAGACAAGUUGGACAAAAGUGGUAUAUAUCCUAAUAUAACAUGGGAACCUGCCACUUAUGAUUGGCGUGUGAAAUUGGGGGAUGGGGAAGCAGUCUUGUGGGACUGAGCCCUUAGCCUGUGGGGUCUAAUGCUAUCUUCAGGUAAUAUCAGAACUGAGUUAAAUUAUAGGAUACCAGUCAGUGUCCAUUGGAGAACUGAAUUAUUGUGAGGAGAAACCCACACAUUUGGUGGCUAAAAGUAUUGAUGUGAGUAGUAGCAUAUAGGA
rnacentral:lncRNA from 1 species